UACAGAGGUCUCAAGCGUUGUUCGGAUUCAUUGGGCGUAAAGGGUGCGUAGGCGGCGCGGUAAGUCGGGUGUGAAAUCUUGGAGCUUAACUCCGAAACUGCAUUCGAUACUGCAGUGCUUGAGGACUGGAGAGGAGACUGGAAUUUACGGUGUAGCGGUGAAAUGCGUAGAUAUCGUAAGGAAGACCAGUGGCGAAGGCGGGUCUCUGGACAGUUCCUGACGCUGAGGCACGAAGGCCAGGGGAGCAAACGGG
rnacentral:rRNA from 1 species